AGAAUCAACGCUGGCGGCGUGCCUAACACAUGCAAGUCGAACGAGAAAGUGGAGCAAUCCAUGAGUAAAGUGGCGACCGGGUGAGUAACACGUGACUAACCUACCUUCGAGUGGGGAUAACAUCGGGAAACCGAUGCUAAUACCGCAUAACAUCGCAAGAUCAAAGCAGCAAUGCGCUUGAAGAGGGGGUCGCGGCUGAUUAGCUAGUUGGCGGGGUAAUGGCCCACCAAGGCGAAGAUCGGUAUCCGGCCUGAGAGGGCGCACGGACACACUGGAACUGAAACACGGUCCAGACUCCUACGGGAGGCAGCAGUGGGGAAUUUUGCGCAAUGGGGGAAACCCUGACGCAGCAACGCCGCGUGGAGGAUGAAGCCCCUUGGGGCGUAAACUCCUUUCGACCAAGACGAUAAUGACGGUACUGGUGGAAGAAGCACCGGCUAACUCUGCGCCAGCAGCCGC
rnacentral:rRNA from 1 species